rnacentral:rRNA from 1 species
UACGUAGGGUGCAAGCGUUGUCCGGAAUUAUUGGGCGUAAAGAGCUCGUAGGCGGUCUGUUACGUCGGCUGUGAAAACCUGGGGCUCAACUCCGGGCCUGCAGCCGAUACGGGCAGACUAGAGUUCGGCAGGGGAGACUGGAAUUCCUGGUGUAGCGGUGGAAAUGCGCAGAUAUCAGGAGGAACACCGGUGGCGAAGGCGGGUCUCUGG